rnacentral:rRNA from 1 species
CAGUAGCCGCGGGAAUACGAGGGGGGCAAGCGUUGUUCGGAAUUAUUGGGCGUAAAGGGUGCGUAGGCGGUUUCGUAAGUCUUAUGUGAAAUCUAUGGGCUCAACCCAUAGUCUGCAUGGGAAACUGCGAGGCUUGAGGAUGGGAGAGGUGAGUGGAAUUUCCGGUGUAGCGGUGAAAUGCGUAGAUAUCGGAAGGAACACCUGUGGCGAAAGCAGCUCACUGGACCAUUUCUGACGCUGAUGCACGAAAGCUAGGGGAGCAGACAGGAUUAGAUACCCGCGUAGUCCCUGUCUCUUAUAC